GGCGAAGCCUGCUCGAGCAGGCUG
rnacentral:sRNA from 1 species